rnacentral:rRNA from 1 species
AGGGUUUGAUUAUGGCUCAGGACGAACGCUGGCGGCGUGCCUAACACAUGCAAGUCGAGCGAAUGAAGUUCCUUCGGGAAUGGAUUUAGCGGCGGACGGGUGAGUAACACGUGGGCAACCUGCCUCAUAGAGGGGAAUAGCCUUCCGAAAGGGAGAUUAAUACCGCAUAAGAUUGUAGUACCGCAUGAUACAGCAAUUAAAGGAGCAAUCCGCUAUGAGAUGGGCCCGCGGCGCAUUAGCUAGUUGGUGAGGUAACGGCUCACCAAGGCGACGAUGCGUAGCCGACCUGAGAGGGUGAUCGGCCACAUUGGGACUGAGACACGGCCCAG